rnacentral:rRNA from 1 species
UUGACCUCAAAUCAGGUAGGACUACCCGCUGAACUUAAGCAUAUCAAUAAGCGGAGGAAAAGAAACUAACAAGGAUUCCCCUAGUAACUGCGAGUGAAGCGGGAAAAGCUCAAAUUUAAAAUCUGGUAGUCUUUGGCUGCCCGAGUUGUAAUCUAGAGAAGCAUUAUCUGCGCUGGACCGUGUACAAGUGUCCUGGAAUGGACCAUCAUAGAGGGUGAGAAUCCCGUCUUUGACACGGACUCCCAGGGCUUUGUGAUGUGCUCUCAAAGAGUCGAGUUGUUUGGGAAUGCAGCUCUAAAUGGGUGGUAAAUUCCAUCUAAAGCUAAAUAUUGGCGAGAGACCGAUAGCGAACAAGUACCGUGAGGGAAAGAUGAAAAGAACUUUGGAAAGAGAGUUAAACAGUACGUGAAAUUGCUGAAAGGGAAACGCUUGAAGUCAGUC